rnacentral:rRNA from 1 species
GAUGAACGCUGGCGGCGUGCCUAAUACAUGCAAGUCGAGCGAAUGGAUUAAGAGCUUGCUCUUAUGAAGUUAGCGGCGGACGGGUGAGUAACACGUGGGUAACCUGCCCAUAAGACUGGGAUAACUCCGGGAAGCCGGGGCUAAUACCGGAUAACAUUUUGAACCGCAUGGUUCGAAAUUGAAAGGCGGCUUCGGCUGUCACUUAUGGAUGGACCCGCGUCGCAUUAGCUAGUUGGUGAGGUAACGGCUCACCAAGGCAACGAUGCGUAGCCGAACUGAGAGGGUGAUCGGCCACACUGGGACUGAGACACGGCCCAGACUCCUACGGGAGGCAGCAGUAGGGAAUCUUCCGCAAUGGACGAAAGUCUGACGGAGCAACGCCGCGUGAGUGAUGAAGGCUUUCGGGUCGUAAAACUCUAUUGUUAGGGAAGAACAAGUGCUAGUUGAAUAAGCUGGCACCUUGACGGUACCUAACCAGAAAGCCACGGCUAACUACGCGCCAGCCGCCGCUGUAA